rnacentral:lncRNA from 1 species
GUAAAAUCUCCCUGAAUGAUAAUUUCAUCCUCCCCUGUUACUGAGGCACCACAGGAGAAUUUUUGAGCAAAAAAUCUUUGUGCUUCUUUAAGAUCAAUUUCAAAAGUUGCAAGGCCACAUACUCUUGUCACAUAUUUCUUCUUUGCUCUGGGAAUUUUGGCUAUAGUAACCUUUUGUGGUACGGUCUUCUUUUUUUGUUUUAUUUGACCCCUUCCACCUCUCUUCUGUUUUUUCUUCUCCUCUUCUUCCCCUGCUGUUCCUUGACCCUCACUAAUUCCAGCUUCUUGUUUGGGUGAAUUUUCUAGAUAUAAAAGUGAAAUACAAAAGCAUGAACAUCAUCUCACACUGUUAAAAAAAAAGAAAUCACCUUUGAGCAACCUCAUAUACAAAUAAGGCAUCUUACCAACAGCUGAGCAUGAAAUUUGUAAAGCAAUGGAUUACACUGCUAGAUUUCUA